UGAACAUCACUUCUCGGUGGACUCUGAAU
rnacentral:sRNA from 1 species